CUCCCAUUUCCAAGCAGGCAGCACUGAGCGACCAGCAGACGGCUCGUACCGCUGAGAGCUCGGUGCCAGCUCUCGCAGUGCAAGAGCAGCCUCCUGCCGAUGUCUGUUCUCAGCAAAAUUACUGACAGUUUGGUCGGGCACAGAGUCCAAAGCAGCAUUUCCCCACCAAGAUUCACGUGCCUUUGGUCAGGAGCGUCACCCCAGCACGGGGGUUUAUGCCGUAUGAGCAGGAGGGAGCACAAAGACGAGGCAGCAGGAGGGAAUAUACUCCUUUACGUGAGCGGUAAUAAUAUGAUCAUACCACCAAGUACGUAAAGAAAGAUGUAAUGAAGAGACAAAAUAUAUUUAACGGAGAAGACAUAGCGGAAGAAUAAUCACAUAAAUGGCACCGGCAACAGGAAGACGGGGCUGCCAUGCCUUCCAGAGCACCAGAUGCCCACAGCCACCUGCAAAAGGACAGCAGCACAGUGGCGCUCGGGGUCGGAGGAGAAAUGUGGCUGACACACAGCCCUGUGUCUGCUCAGUGCAGGCUUCACAGAAGCAAGUAUCAGUUGGCUUAUAACACAUCUGAACAGCCCAUGGUUGCAAAGAGAAGAUUUAAAACAUGGAAAAGGUUUGCACAGUCUGAUUUCAUCCUAUUUCCUUCUGCAGUUCAUGGAGAUCUUUUUUCCUUUCUCUCACAACUACAGAGGGAGCACAGGGGUGCAGGACUGGACUAGCACAGGGUAGUGCUGCCUGCAGCAGCCCAGCCCGACCCGCACAGCAGCCCGCAGAAGGGG
ensembl:lncRNA